rnacentral:rRNA from 1 species
CCUACGGGUGGCAGCAGUGGGGAAUAUUGCACAAUGGGGGGAACCCUGAUGCAGCGACGCCGCGUGAGUGAAGAAGUAUUUCGGUAUGUAAAGCUCUAUCAGCAGGGAAGAAAUUGACGGUACCUGACUAAGAAGCCCCGGCUAACUACGUGCCAGCAGCCGCGGUAAUACGUAGGGGGCAAGCGUUAUCCGGAUUUACUGGGUGGAAAGGGAGCGUAGACGGCAGUGCAAGUCUGAAGUGAAAGCCCCGGGCUUAACGGCGGGAUUGCUUUGGAAACUGUCCGGCUAGAGUGCUGGAGAGGUAAGCGGAAGUCCUAGUGUAGCGGUGAAAUGCGUAGAUAUUAGGAGGAACACCAGUGGCGAAGGCGGCUUACUGGACAGUAACUGACGUUGAGGCUCGAAAGCGUGGGGAGCAAACAGGAUUAGAUACCCUUGUAGUC